GCGAUCUUAGUUAAAUGGUAUAAUACGGCCUUGCCAAGGCUGUGUCGCGGGUUCGAUUCCCGCAGAUCGCA
rnacentral:tRNA from 1 species